rfam:Enterobacter cloacae S611 EDP2.NODE_1917, whole genome shotgun sequence.
GGUAUUCCUUAUCUAUCUAAUCGUUGAUUGUCUGGAACCUGUCCCAUUGCACUCUGACGGCCUGUAAAGGUUCGUAAAAAUGCAAUAAGACAGGUUCUGCGUUUAGUUGCCGCGCUCUAAAAAUUG